AACAACAAAAUUGCACAAAUUAGCCUGAAUAAAAUCCGAGCCAUUUCAAUAACAGAAUUCCUGCAUAAUUUCACAGAAAAAUAACCAAUCCAAUAACAUAAUUUCUUCCUAACAAGCUUCUAAUCUCACUCUCCAUCACUCUAUAUAAAUCAAUCCUCACCUCUCUCAAAGCUUCCAGAUUCUUCUUCUUCCUCCAUCACCUAAUCUUCUUCAACCUCUAACAACUGAACCAAGCCUCUCUUCAAUUCCUUCAACAACCGUAACAAACUCACAAAACCGUUAACCACCACUUCAACCUCCUCUUCCCAACCGAGCUUUCAUCCAACCUUCACUACGCUUCCAGAUUCUUCUUCUUCUUCCCUCCCUCCAAAUUCUAACAAACUUCACAAUCACAAUCUAGAAUCCACCUUCAACCUCCAUUGAACCAACACACUGAACCUUCCAUUGGUAACACUCAACACCAUAAACUCCAAUCCCUCUUCAUAAUCACCUUAUCGAUAACAUAAUCGAAACACUAGAAAAGCUUCACAAAAGAAUUGAGGAAGAAGCUUCGUAACAGAAGUGAUUCGCAACAGAAUAAAGUAGAGAAAAAGCUUGAAAGUACCUUUCC
rnacentral:lncRNA from 1 species